CCCAGCUCUGUUUUGUAAUUCGGGCUUAUUCAGCAGACUGGCUGCUAGUGGAGGGCACUAGUUUCUGGGCGACUCUGUGGGCUAUUUAAAACACACGGAGGCAUCUCCAAGGCGGCUUUGUCAAAAGCCAAGGACAUUUUUUCGGCAGAGGCUCUAAGCUUGUUGCCACAUGAACAAACAGAAGAGGUUCGCUUUAGCUUCCUGGUGUUUUUUGGAUUGACAGAAAAUGCUAAGGGGAACAGAAGCCAACAGGGCAGCCUGGGGCAACUGGAAGCCCUGGAGGAAGCAGAGGAUUGUUGGCACUGGCUCCUUGCUCAGGGCGAGGUUGUGAAAGUGUGAGCCGUGAACAAACGUCUGGAAAAGCUCUCCGCUGGACAUUUUGCCCUUGGCCUAGGAGGCUGGACCAUGUAGGGCUAAAGAGCAUUUACCUUGGAUUCCUUGCUUCUGUGAGUAGAGCCUACUGCUGAGAACACAGGAAAUGACUUGUGAGCCUGGUAAAAGCGGCCGGAGUCUGACCCCACCUAGGGCUGUCAGAGCGAGCUCUUCGCGUGAAUUCCAUAGGAGAGAUGCCAAGAUGGAGGGAAAGACAGAUGACUUCACAAAAUGAGAUGAUUCCCCAAGCCUGGGGACGGCUUCAGUGAAGAAAUGUUUAGAAAAGAGAAAGCCAUUGGUUGAGAAAAAUGAAAAGAUGUUUGAAGGCACCUUUCAGUUGAACCUAUGCAGCCAUGAGGCCAUUAGAAUCCUGAGAUUCCAAACAUCCUGUCAAAGCCACUGUCUCCUAAGAAAACAAUGUAUGUUUCUACAAGAUUUUGCACAUGUGUUGUGGUUGUGAGUUCAGAUUCCUCUGGAACUCAACUCACCGAUUCAUAUUACGAACCUUAUUACAAAAACAAGUACUUUAUUUGAUAUGGCAGUUAAUGCCCAAGAAAACAUCAAGAGAGUUGUCUUGGCAUUUGUGGGAAGGUAAAUGGAAAGAGUUAAUGCAAGCGUCAUUUCCAAGGGGCAUAGCAAUUUGGGGAUUUUAAAUAUUUUAACUGUUUGAGCUUUGAUGGAAAAUUCUACCAACAUGUUAGUAACAGUCACUCUCUGAGGAGGAAAGCUACAGGCAGCCUAGGGAGAGCAAGGCUAGUGAGGGCAAAAAUAGAGCAGUGGAUAUGCAACUGAACAGAGAGUGCCUUGUUGAUUCCUGAUUCCUAUGUGAGUUAAUAAUUCACUUGGGAGGGUGGGCUUUGGGGAGAAGAGGGAUGAAUGUUUUCUUGACUUGGCAGAAAAGAAGGAGGUAUAAGUUGAUUUCUAAGUUCUCCAGUCCUUGGAGACUUUACCUUGGAGACAGCACAGAUAACAAAAUCAUUUAGGAAGCAGGAUCUUAGAAUUUGUCUUUCUUGUUGUUUUGGAUCUGUGUUCCUUAGUAGAAGGAAAAGGAACAUGAGUGAUGAUUGGAGUCCUUCAUUGGCCUCCCUCAUUCACUUUGUAAUCAGUAAAAUUUAUUCUGCAUCCUUGACAAAAACCAAGUUUUAUGUUGGUAGCAGAUGAUUACUGAAUGGUUGAUAUAGGCUCUGAGUUUGUGAAAUAUUAAUUCCAGAGAAACAGUGACACACAAAACAGUAGUGUGUGGAGGAGAAGUUCAUUGGAAUCUCAAGGUAGGAAGUGCAGUAAUUACCUUUAUCAUUGGUGCCACAAAAUACAUGACGAGAAUGAACAUAAGGAAGGUGAAGUUUCUUCUGUCAUAGUUCUAGGAGAUAUGUUCUGUUUGGAUGAAGAGGAAAUCCUGGCUAGAGCAAGAUGGUGCUGGUCGCAUUGACUCUGCAGGCAGGAAGCAAAGAGUGAACAAGAUAUUGGGCCAGGAAGUAAAACUUCGAGACCAUAAUCCAGUGGUUUCCUCCAGCAAACUCACUUGCUGAAGGUUCUAUAGCUUUCCCACAUAGCAUGCAUACAAGUGCAUGAGUCUUUGGUUGGGGGGCAUUUUAUCUUCCAACCACGGGUCUUUUUCAAUCAAGUAUGAGACGAUGCUUCCUGGAUAAAAUGACGACUUGAAAAAGGGGUUAGAGUUGACCAGCAGCAGAGGAAGAACAGAAUGGCCUAGGAAAAAGACAGUGCCAUGUGACCCAUUGGUGUUGAGGAAAGAAGCAAAUGAGGAGGGAUUUUGAGGGAGAGAGCUAGAAAUGAUAGGAGCUGGACUACACAAUGCAGCUCUGUGCGGCAUGCUAAGAAGCCGAAAUUACUCAUUGUACAUGGAUUAGAAGACAUUAAAGGCUGGAACAGACGGAUGAAGGGUUUUCUGUACAAUUCUCAGAUUCCAUCUAAUAUCCAGGGAUUCAGUGUUUCAAUAUUACGUUAAGACCUGGCUCUAUACUUAUUUGUGUAACUUUAAUUUCCAUUUCUAUUAUUUUCUAAGUUGUUUUUUAUUUUUUUUUUUUACUUUUUACUUCUUAACUGUAUGCACCUUUAUAUGGUUCUUAAAUCAUCUCAAUAACAUGGUCGAGAUUACAGAAAUAAAUAAAACCUUCUCCAAAUA